rnacentral:misc_RNA from 1 species
GGGGCUGUCACGCCAAUCGAAGGCGUGCAUGGCGCCGAGGAUCUCGUACAUGUUGCGGGCGACCUCGGCCCGGACCGACUCGUAGACGGGCUCCAUCAGCACGCGCGGAGCUGCUUCGAUGUUGGGGAUGCGCUCCAUGAUGAAGAACGGCCCGCCCAGGUGGGACGGGUCCGGCUCGAGCCAGCGCAUCGCCGGGACCGGCACCUUCGAGCCCGCGAACGUGGAGUAGAAGGCGUACUCCAUCUCGCGGUCGGUAUCGAGCAGGCUUGCCG